rnacentral:rRNA from 1 species
UACGAAGGGGGCUAGCGUUGUUCGGAAUUACUGGGCGUAAAGCGCACGUAGGCGGAUACUUAAGUCAGGGGUGAAAUCCCGGGGCUCAACCCCGGAACUGCCUUUGAUACUGGGUAUCUCGAGUCCGGAAGAGGUGAGUGGAAUUCCGAGUGUAGAGGUGAAAUUCGUAGAUAUUCGGAGGAACACCAGUGGCGAGGGCGGCUCACUGGUCCGGUACUGACGCUGAGGUGCGAAAGCGUGGGGAGCAAACAGG